rnacentral:rRNA from 1 species
UACGAGGGGAGCAAGCGUUGUUCGGAUUUACUGGGCGUAAAGGGCGCGUAGGCGGUCGUGACAAGUCACUUGUGAAAUCUCCGGGCUUAACUCGGAACGGUCAAGUGAUACUGUCGGACUAGAGUACAGAAGGGGCAACUGGAAUUCCCGGUGUAGCGGUGAAAUGUGUAGAGAUCGGGAGGAACACCGGUGGCGAAGGCGGGUCUCUGGGCAAUUCCUGACGCUGAGGCGCGAAAGCGUGGGGAGCAAACGGG